GCUGGGCGUGGUGGCUGACGCCUGUAAUCCCAGCACUUUGGGAGGCUGAGGCAGGUGGAUCACCUGAGGUCAGGAGUUCGAGACCAGCCUGGCCAACAUGGUGAAACCCUGUCUCUA
rnacentral:SRP_RNA from 1 species